ensembl:lncRNA
CCACCAAAGUUUGGAAGGGAACUUUCGAAACCGGCUGUUUUAGUGAACGUGCGUCAUUUGGGGAUUCAGAGCGAUGUGACACCGCUGCACACGUGUUGUGUUGCUCUUUGCUGACCCGCGUUCGGGAUGCUGUGGUCCCAGUUUAAUGCUUUGGAGACGGAUGCGGGAGGAUACGAAGCCCCGCCUCUUCCCCUUAGAACGAAUCACAGUUCUGGAUGAACACACUGCUGCAGUCGGACUUGAACUGUGUCAGUGUGUGUGUGUGUGUGUGUGUGUUGAAGACGGAGGAAUGCUGAGUGAUUCCAGAGAGCACUUAAGCCGCCUUGAAUCCCGUUUUGUGUUCCCGCUCCCGUUAUAACAGCAGAGGGGCUUCUCUUUGGAGUUUGCAGGGGUAAAACACUGGGUUUCUGCUUUCUGCGUCAUUUAGCAUCCUCCUCUGUCACCUUACUCACAUAUUCUAAAAAAAAAAAGAAAAUAUGCUGGUUUGUCAGGCCAGCCCGAGCGAGACUAUCCCCCCCAAUUUAUUUGAUUUUGUUCCUCCCGACAGUUCCGCUGAAGACCUAUCUGAACUUUCCCCGGAUUUGUUCGGCUCUGGUUUUGAUGUGCGUGUUGUUAUUUUCCCCUUCUGAGAGUGUGUAGUCAACGGUGCCUGAGUGCCGCCUCCUCUUCUUCUUCUUUUUUUUUUUUGUAUCGGUCCAGGGAAGGAAUUUGAUGAGGGACUUAUUUUCCUACACAGUCAGUUUUUUUGGAGGACCCCACCCACUAUCCCGCUUGAAAAAAAAAACGUCUUCUUAGUCCUGGGAGUUUGCGACGCCUCCUGCAAUUUGACGGCUUUUGCAUACCCGGGCAGGUGUGCACAUGCCUCCCUGUUUACUCAUCCAGCCCCCCCCAAAAAAAUCGUACAAAUGUUAAAACGCCACUGAAAUCCGUCAGGUGAGAGCAGGAGGAGCGAGUUGUGUGUGUGUGUGUGUGUGUGUGUGUGUGUGUGUGUGAGAUUAAGGAGGGUCAUCGUCCUCAACGUUUUCGGACGCAUGGAGGAGACAAUCCCGCCGGGAUACGUUCCUUUUUUUUCGCUGGAAAACUGAACUAAUAAAUUGGACGUGACGGCGAGACCUGCAAGCAGCAGACGUCGUGUGCCAAAGAUGCACAGGAAAAAAAAAAUGCAUGCUGGGAAGAAAAGAAAAAUAAACAAGCCUGUCAAGCGAAGUUGGGGAGAAUCCUCAGUGCGGCGUUUUCUGUCGAAAGCGCAGCUCCCGUUUCAUACAUUAUUAACAUCACCUAAACGCAUCAUCUGUGUAUUUACUCAUUCAUUUGUCUUGUUAACAUCCUCCCGGAGUGAGAUAAACAGCUGGCGGCCGGGGCUGCCUGCGCGUGCAGUUGUGCACGUGAGGGAGAUUUCAACAAAAAAAACCCCGGCAGCGCGAUGGGAGCGAGACAGGAGCGCAUUGGGGCGGACACCGGGCGUCCUCUCCGUCCUCAUUAAGGGACAGUCAAGGCGAUGAUGUUCGAACCGGCCGCGCGCUUUUCACCGGCCCGUCUCUCCCGUCUUUGAGCGGCGCCGCCGUCUCAUCUGCGACGGCGCUCUGUUCCUCCGCAACGCGCCGCCGCCUGCACGCAAACUCUUGGUGCUUAUUUAGUUUGUGUAGACAGAAAAACUCUCCAGUAUGUGGCUUGUCCACAGAAAUGUGGCAGCUUUUCUUGUGUUUUCUUUCUACGCUACUGAAAAAAGCCUGGUACUGUUUUUUUUCCGGAGGGGGGUUGUUCCGCACAACACAUCACAAAUGGAUAUUUUAAUUGGAACUUUUGGCACUGUCUCCAUCUUGUGUUGGAAUGGCAGAGAAGUGGCUGAUUGGUGUGUAGCGAGGCGCCUAAAUCAACCGGCAGCAUGAAUGGCUGCUCGCUUCUCACUGGCUUUCACUGGAAUCCACGGCAGUUUUUUCUUCUGGAAUAACCAACAAGGGACGGAGAAUACCUCCUGCUUCCUUGAAGCGUGGCGCCCUUUUGUUUCAGUUUGCCAACUCACCCUCUUUUGUCGCUGCGUUCCAGCCGUAGAUUCAUUCACUUGGGUGAAGAUCAACGAGACGUGAUAUCUUAAAGUCUGCUUUUUGUCGUGACACUUGGUGUUCAGAUGUGGCUGCAGAGUUUAUGACUCCGUUGUGCACCAUUGUGUCUGGGCGCCUUGAGCUGUUGCCGUGGCUUUUCCAAGUAGUGAUGUCAUACGAUCUUUGUGAAUGAGUGAAGACUUAAGCAAAUGAAUUAAACCCGAGCUGAUAAAACCUGCUCACAUGUUGUGUAACAGCUUUUGAAUCGUGCAUAAAGACACAUAAGAGCUAAGUGGACCCAUUCGUGUAUCUUUAAGGGAUUCAAAAACAAUCAAGUAACCACUUCUUGAAAUUCGGGGGAACCGAAGGUGAACAGAUGCCCCCACCUUCGAAUGACACGGCGGGGCCCGGCUCCUUCUGCUCCGGUGGAGGCUCGCUCCGGCUCCACGGCGGCGCCGGCUAACGCGAACCACAUGCGCGAGUAAACACCUGUUUAAGCGGCGGGCAGUUCUUCACCUCCGACAGUAAACUCUGGCACACUCUCGCCCAGAGGGAGAGCAGCUGUGUGCAGCCGGGUCAGCCGGGAGUCACUGUAACCUUCCUUGACAUAAUGUAGUCCUUGUGUUUGACGGGGCUGUGUGUGUGUGUGUGUGUGUGUGUGUGUGAGGAGAGGGAUAGGAUGAAGAUGUCAUGUGUGUUUUGCAGGUGGUGUGAUUUGUAUACCUGGAUACGAAUAAGUGUGUGUGUGUGUGUGUGUGUCAGUGGCCUUUUCUCUUGGUAGUCGGCGCUGUGUAAUUAGCCGGCAGUCUGCCACCGAGCCCCCCGCCAGAGCAGAGGCAGACGUGGGCCGGGGGCCUUACGCAACGCAAAGCAGCGGCCGUCUGGACCGCGGGGGCCCACGGGGGGCCCCCAGACACAACAAGUCGUCUCUUGAGUAAAAGUCAGGGGUGAUUGCAUUCGUAGCGGAGCUUAACAUUGCUGGGCCGCGGUGAUGUCAGGGUUAGCGGGUCAAAAUCAAGACACUUUGAAUCAGGAUGACUUAUCACUAUUACCACUCGCUCGCUCGGGCACACACACACACACACACACACACACCUGUAGUUAUUAGGAUUUGGUGGCGUUUGGUGUUAGUGGCAGUGCUGGCUGCGAAGUGCGCAUGUGCAACGCGGGUUUUUCCGCUUGUCGUCCGCAAUGAACGGACGGUGAAAGCACUGCUUAUUGGACCAUUUCUUUGCAUUCGAUUGUGCGUAAACGGCUACAUUUGUCAUCGUAACGCCUAGACAAUCGGGUUGACACACAUAUUGCAUAUAUACUUAUAGGAAUACUGUAAAAAACUGUAAAAAUACAUAUCCCAAGUCCAUUAAAUAAAAUGAUUUAAUAAACAUUUUUACGUUUUAUUUUCGCCUACCCUGACUCGAAAAUGUUGAAAAUGUUGCCAUUACGAAUGUCCAUGGCUCAAGGAGAAGUCCCCAAUAUGUAAUUAUGUGAAACAAAAAAAGUAACCACAAAUGACUUUUACAAAUUACAAUUAAUUGUUAAUGCGAGUGGAAAAUGGAAUUAAAGAAACUACCUGGCCACAGGUCAGUGACGUGCUGCAAAACCGCCACAGAGUCCUGAAACAGAUCAUGGCCGGCCAAUCAGAAGCCAGAGGAAUUCACUGGCACAGAGAACUCUCAACUGGUUUGUUACUUCUCUUUGGCUCACCAGUAACUGCUCUAUUACUGGGGUGCACCCCCCACCCCCCCACCAGUAAGGGCCAGUUCCGAGGUGCACAGACAUGCACAUGGCGCAGGCGCUGCAACGGUCCCCGCCCUCUCUCUCUCUCUCUCUCUCUCUCCCGCCAUUUUAAUUGUUGUAUCUCCUCAGCCUUGAUGUGAGCAAAAAGGGAGGCCUCGGCAGAACCAAGAGCCUCGGCACAUCAAAGCCCGCCCCCCCACAUCCCCCCACCCCCCCAUCAUCUUACAAGUCGCCCGUCUCUUUGGAGGAGAAGCCGGAGAAGCGGGAUCGGAGGGAAGAGGCGGUGUGGAUUCCCGCCUGGCAUGAGUUUGAUGGGAUAAUUGUAGCCCCCAGUGGACACAGGCCCACAUCACAGAGGGCCGAACGGAGCGAGAGAGCCGGGGGCCGUGGAUGGAGGAGCCGCCGCAGCGGGUGUGGAAAACACUCCUGCUAGCUUGCUCCUCCAUCGCCGCGGCGCCGCACACGGCUCUCCCGAUGCUUUUGAUUUCAGCAUAUAUCCAUUUCAGGAAUACUCCCCAAAAUAUCCCUUUUCCUCAUUUGUUGCGCUGCACAUUUCGCUUUUUUUUGCCUCCCCUGUAAACCCCCGGCCCCGCCCUUGAGAAGCCUUGUCCUGCCAAUCGUUUGGCUAUUUUCUCAGGCCUGAUCCGCCACCUCCUGCGAUCUCCGUCCAAACGGACGCGUCCUCCAUCAUUGAUGCAAGCGGUGGCCAGAGUGCGUUUGAUGAGCGCUGUGACCAGCAAGGCGACCGAGCGCCGGCCAUCAAAGCGUCUCCUUGCAGCUUUGAGCUGUUCUCUUUUUGUUUCCUUGCUCCCAUCUGCAUCAAAAAAAAAAAGGAAUCAAUAGCUGAAACUUUUGAGUACCAGUUUUUCCUUCCAUUACAACCCCCCGACGCCAGUUUGGCAGUUGCACAUUAUGCCACAAGAGUGAAAACCCAGUUAAAAGGAGGAAGGCACAAGGAGAUGACACCAGCGAGGAAGCGCCCGGCGUUGGGCAGGGCCCCCCGGCGGGGAGAAAAUCAAUGGGAAGGAACGCUUCCAUACACGGAAACGGCACAAUGGGAGGGAAAGGAGGGAGUCUGGAUUUUUCUUUCUUUUUUUUGUUUUUUUACUGAAAAAUGAUGCAUUUGUUUUACCCAGGGAGGGAAAAGACAAAGACAAGGAGAGAGGAAAAAAAUAAAUAAAACCCACUCUUCUGAAAAUCUAUUGAGGAAAAAAAAAAAAAGUUCUUUGGUGAGGUUGAGUUGUGUGGUUAAGGUUUGUUUUAUCCAACUGUGCCGGAGCGUGUGUAGCUGUCUUUCAGGUCUCUUUUUAGUCGAGGCGCAGGAAGACUACUCUUGGCAUGUUCAAGGGCACUCAGUGGACACGGAUGCCCUGCAGGAGGCGGAAUUAUGAAUACAACAUGAGUAAACAGACACCUACAUAUACUAUUAAAAUGGUAAGCACGCUACUUUGCAAGAGAGCCUUUAAAUAGUCGUUUGAGUCGGUCCGUAGCAGUCGGCGCUCUGAGGGUCAUUGAUAAAGACUUUAAAUUUCUGCUAGAAUUUGCCCGAUAGUGUAAUGAUUUGCACAUUGGCAGUAAUGUAUUCCUGCGUGCAUUCCUCCAAUACAACCCAUUUUAGUAUUCAGUUCAGUGAUAAAGGAUUUCUUCUUCUUUUUUUUUUUCUUCCUUUUUUACACAGCAGCUGUGAACAAAGAAUACAAUAGCGCGCAAACUCGAAACACAAUUCCAAGCCGGAGCCUUGAAUGGCAUUCAGACUUCACGGUGACUGAGUGAGCCCAUUCAGGGGGAGUGCGCGGCGGUUGGAGAGAUAGUAUCGAGUUGCCUGCAGAUGGAGGUCAGUGUGACUGGCACAGUUGGCACCUUGGCACGGCGGCGGCGGCGGCGGCGGCGCGGCAGCACUCUGCUCCGCAGAGGAUGCGUCGACUGAAAGGGGACGAGUGGGGAGGGGAAGGGGACUGCGGAGCGAAGCGUUUUUCUCACUUCUGCCUUCUUUUAUUGUCUGCGCUUCCUGUUUUGAAAGCCAUUAAGGAGCAAAUUUCCUCACAGCGAGAGGGGAGAUGAAAAGGCCCGGUCUUUUGAAACAUGUCCAAGCCCAAAUGUGAAAAAGAGAGAGGAAUGAUAGCUAUCUGUAAACAUCUCUGCCGAGGGGUCGACGGAAAAGGAAUUGUGAGGGAAUGUUAUAUUCAUUUGACUUCUUUUUUGUUUUGUGGUGGAGGGGGGGGGGGUUGCUGAUGAAAGGGAUGCUGCAGUUUUUUGUUCCAAGCCAGCUGUAUUGCUCUAUUCAAAACCACACUAAUAUAGCAGGGCAGGCUCACACGACUACACAGCCACCCCCCCCACCCCCCCACCC